AUGCUACUUUUUUUUUAUUGCAGAUCUGCCUUCACAAUAGAACUGAAAGUUUUUUGGGUUUUGUGGGUUUUUUUUUUUUGCAGUGCCCUGCCUCUGCUGCUUAGAUUGAUUUGUGGAAGGAGACGGCUUGGCAAUAAAAGGAGGGGAAGAUACUUUUCAAACCUGUCAUGGGCAUUUCUCUGUAUUCUGUGGUAUUUGAAUGACUGCAUGGAUUUAAACUCAAGGAAGCUUUAACAAGGAAAGGAGUCCAUGAAUGACGCUUAUAGCAAAGCUGAUAUUGAGCUGAAGGACUGAUGCUGUCUUUGAGCAACCAUUCAAGUUCAUAUACACCAGCACAAUUUCAUUUGAACCAUCAUCAUGGGAUUUCUGGCACUCAUCAAAUUUGUCUACCUUGGGAGCCAUUUGACCAUCUUUUCAGUCUGGACCAAAUAUUUGUAUCUUCAGUGUGAAAGCUGAAAUUCAAGAGCAUUUUAAGGAGUCAAAUUAGAGCUUUUCCUUUAUUGGAAAUAAUUACUAUGUAUGAAAGCCCUACACAUUUUCUACUAUAACAGAGAACACAAGAACGUAAGCCAUAAAUAGGUCUAGAGGCAGGAGCAACAGUAACAGCAUGUGUAUACAAACAUCCAUCCCUCAUCCCAUACUAAUCUCAUACAACAAUUUCAGCCCAUGCCCCAACAGACCAAGGACCUGAUGGAGAAAUACCAGUGAGCUCCCACAUCUAAACCAUAAUGCUUAUUCAUACAAGUUACAUCAACCAUUAAUGCCUAACCUGCAAAAUUUAUCAUAGACAACGAUGAAUUAAAAAACAAAUAAGUAAAACUUAACCAGGUAGAAUUUAAUGAAAAGGCUACUUACAUUUUGUGAGCUAUUAAUAUUCCCAAAGUACACAAUAUAUUAUGAAUAUAAUUCUAG
rnacentral:lncRNA from 1 species